rnacentral:rRNA from 1 species
GAUGAACGCUGGCGGCGUGCCUAAUACAUGCAAGUCGAGCGAACAGACGAGGAGCUUGCUCCUCUGACGUUAGCGGCGGACGGGUGAGUCACACGUGGAUAACCUACCUAUAAGACUGGGAUAACUUCGGGAAACCGGAGCUAAUACCGGAUAAUAUAUUGAACCGCAUGGUUCAAUAGUGAAAGACGGUUUUGCUGUCACUUAUAGAUGGAUCCGCGCCGCAUUAGCUAGUUGGUAAGGUAACGGCUUACCAAGGCAACGAUGCGUAGCCGACCGGAGAGAGUGAUCGGCCACACGGGAGCGGAGACGCGGUCCAUACGCCUACGGGAGGCAGCAGUAGGGAAUCGUCCGCAAUGGGCGAAAGCCUGACGGAGCAACGCCGCGUGAGUGAUGAAGGUCUUCGGAUCGUAAAACUCUGUUAUGAGGGAAGAACAAAUGUGUAAGUAACUAUGCACGUCUUGACGGUACCUAAUCAGAAAGCCACGGCUAACUACGUG